CAACUCUCUUUGCUAACUCCGUAGCAGCAAAGAAAAAAACAUCAAGAAUAAAGAACCAAUCAAUCAACAGCAGAGUAUAUAAAUGUCAUAUUGAACUAAGCUCAUCCUCUUUGCUGCUCCAUCUGCAGACAAGGCUCUAUUAUGUAUGUUUACCUUUUGAUCUGUAUAUGUUCCUAUCAUAGGGUUUUUUUCUUCGAGUCUAUCCAUUUUUUUCCUUAUUUAGGGUUACCCUGCUCUGGAUCAGUAUAUACUUAUCUUGUGUACCUGAUUUCUCUGUCUGGGGGCUUUCAUCUCCCUCAGCGCGAGUAGUUGGACUCCUCUGGGUCUGCUAGGGUACACCUAGUCUUUCUCUGGCACUGUUGGAUUGUUCCCAUAUCCCUCUGGGCUUUACUUUGCGGACGCGACUGUUCAUGGCUCCCCGUCUGCCGGUGAUCUGAG